rnacentral:rRNA from 1 species
UGGGGAAUCUUGCACAAUGGGGGCAACCCUGAUGCAGCGACGCCGCGUGAGCGAUGAAGGUUUUCGAAUCGUAAAGCUCUGUCCUAUGGGAAGAUAAUGACGGUACCAUAGGAGGAAGCCCCGGCUAACUACGUGCCAGCAGCCGCGGUAAUACGUAGGGGGCGAGCGUUGUCCGGAAUUACUGGGCGUAAAGGGUUCGCAGGCGGCAUGGCAAGUCCGAUGUAAAAGGCGAAGGCUCAACCUUCGUAAGCAUCGGAAACUGUCAAGCUUGAGUGAAGGAGAGGCAAGUGGAAUUCCUAGUGUAGCGGUGAAAUGCGUAGAUAUUAGGAGGAAUACCUGUGGCGAAGGCGACUUACUGGACACAAAUCUGACGCUGAGGAACGAAAGCGUGGGUAGCAAACAAG